UGUCUGCUCAUGAAGCCGGGCCAGAGAUGGCUGUGCUCAACACCACCCACCCUCAGGAGAAGACUUACUCUGCCUUUUUGACACCACUUUUCUCCUGCUGCCUGGCUCACCCACCCACCCUCUUUGUUUCUCUAGCCCAACGGUCCCACUCCUGCAUGCCCAUAUUCCCAUCAUUGUGAUGCACUUGUCACCUGAUGUUAUUGGACACCGCUCCCUCUUCUUUCAGGUCCAUAUCCCGGCUGCUGCUGGAGCACAACACCAGCUUGCCAACUCAGAGUACUUUAGCUCUGUGGAAAAUGAGCAUCAAGGAAGAGCUGUGAACAUCUCUUUCUGCAUAAAAUCACAUCAAGGAGAGCAUUUACGUUUGCACAGUAGGAUCAUUUCAUCAUCAGCAAACUGACAUAUCCUAGAAGAUUGUUGCUUACUCAGACCUCCAGUCCUGAUUUCACCAUAUCAACAGGAAAAAUCACAUUAAAUUUAAUGACACCAAGACGAACGCUUUCAGUUCCUCUCAACCUUCUGGCAGGAAGGCAUACAGGAUGCCUAUACCCAUAUGCACAUAGCCCAGGAAAAGUCAAUAUGGAAUUCUGACUCAAUCAAUUAACAGUACAUACUCAUGCCUAUUGAGGGGAAUAGGAAUCUCACACCGAUACAGCCACCAUCACUAUGCUAUUAAUUACGUGUAUAUAAACAUAACUGGAUGUUCAGAUACCAAGAUAUUGUGAAUGCAAUUACUCUAUGUUUUCAGCCUUUUCAGCCAAAGGAGUACCAGAAUGUCUUGACGAUCAGUUUUUGUAUUUUGUUUUGUUAUUAAGACAGCAUAUCUAAGCAUCAGACAUUGGAUAAAAUCUCAGCUCACAUUUAAGAGAAACAUAAAUUUCUAAACAAAUUUUAAAUGGGCCAAGAGUGUUCUAAACAAAAUGAAAUAAAAUCUUCAAC
rnacentral:lncRNA from 1 species